UGGGCCGUGGCUGCUCUGAGGGGCGAGGAGGAAAGCUGCCCUGAGGGGACGGGGAGCUUUCUGGGCCUGGGAUGCGAUCACAGGGCUUCAUCCUGUGAGGUAUGGCAGUGCAGGCUGUGACCAGUACAGGACCUCCAUCAGAAUGUGAAUGCACGGAGUUCCUAGAAAAACAACCGAGGCGCGCCUCCGGGCCUGCUCUGCAGGACGCCUGUGAUGGGUGCGCUGGGAGUGAAAACCAAACACCCAUUAGCUGGGUACGAGAGUGCAAAGCCAGUGCCUGGACCCAGCUGUCUCUGCUCAAUGUCUGGAUCUAGGAGGCAAAAGGUUCUCUGCACUGGAAAGGAGACACUCGUGUUGUAUGCUGCUAAAUUAAACAACAUUCCAAACGGUUUGCUUUGAAACCCAGCAGCAAGGCCAAAAGCCUCCAUCUUGCCUGUUUUAUCUGAAGGGAAUAGCAAAAGGAAAACGUUUCCAUCGUGUUCCCAAGGCUAAUGAGCAAAGAGGUGCUGGAGCCAAACAACAAUAAUUGCAGGAAAAAAAUUACAGCAGCAGACGAAAAGGAGUAAAUUACUUAACUCAUUUAUACAUGAAUGAAAUACUGCUCCUGCCUGAAGGCUCUGCAUGGUGCGAUACCCAAAUGCCUGGGGAAGGGGCUGCUCCAUCACGGCCGUGCUACCAGCUGGAGGAGGACUCAGUGGCAGAGGCAAUAAAAGCAGCCCUGCAAGUGGCUCACAUAGUGCUGGGCAGCAAAGCAGCAAAUUCCCAACAUCCAGACCCUCAGGGACUGAAGCCAACCUAGGUGUUCUCCUUGUGGCAUCCCACAUCAAAAAGCAGUACUAGGAGACAAACUUGCAACACAUCAUGAGGACCAUGCUAAAGAGACCCAUCACCCUUAUAAGAAAAUCUAACUGGUUUUCCGCAGCACAUCUAUGGAAAGCAGCUCUUAAAAAAAAACUGUGAUCAGAGUGGAGCCUGUGGGUAAGAAAAUAAAUUUAAGUGUUCAUCCGGGUGAACAUUAGGCAAUGGCUAGUUUGGGUCUUAAGCCAGCUUAGGAGAACUAGGCAAGAAAUCGGUCUUUCUGAGCUCAUCCUCGCAGUAGUGGCAAAGGGCAUUUAUUUUGCUGUCCUUAAAAGCAGGGAGCUCUAACAUUAGGUUGUGUUCCUGCACCCAGCUGCCUAUUCCUAUGUCCAUUGCCAGAUCCUUCAUCUUUUGGCAUGAUGAACACUUUGGGGAUGCAUGGAACAAACUGCUCCAAUGUGCCUCGUAGAUGGUGACUUUUAGAAAACAGACUUAAGGCAGGCUCCUUGUUAAUCCUUUCUGCCCCUCUGCCUAUAGGAGUCAUUUGAGAUUGAAAAAAAGGAGAACUUGGCUUAAAAAGAUUGCAUGUCUCAACCCCAUGGUGUCAGUGGUGCUGGGAGCUCUGUGGUGCCCAGCCCCUGCCUCCUGACGCCGCUCCUGAUGGUGACAUUAGUCCCGUGGCACGUGCAAGCCAUCAGCUUGACCAACAAAAAUUGAUUUCCAAAAAGCACCUGUGAAAGUUUCCUCCAUAAUUACUAUGGCUGGGAAAUGAGGCCCGAGAAAUGACUUAUUGAGAAGCAUAACAAUAUCAGCAUUGGCAUCACAGCUCAGUAGUGCUUUGUUCCAUUUUUACUCCUAAAGAACAUCAAAUAGCAAAGUUCUUUUAAAUAAAGACUUCCAUUAGUGGGUUUAAAAAUAACACAGUGCGCACAUCCAUUCCUAAAGACAGCUUUUUUUUUUAUUAUUUUAAAAUUCUGCAUCUGAAAACACAGUAUGACAGAAAGCAUUUAUGUACAACUGCAGUGUUUUUGGUAUAAUACAGUAUUUAAUACAUCCAUUUCAUUUUCUGCAAAAAAAAAAAAAAUUGCUUUAUUGGACAAAAAAACAAACUCCCAUUGACAAAGAAUACAGCUAAGGCACAUUGUUUUCUGCUAAAUGAAAGACAAAAGGGUGCAAAAAGGGGUAGUGCAAUAAUUGCUGAAAAUCACAUUCUACUACAAGAAAAGCAUUCUGACUUUGAACUUUGAUUACCGGUCAAUUUAAGACAUUUCAAUAUCUCAUAAAAUACUCCGUUAAAUAAAUAGCAAAAUAUCUACAUCUUUCAGUGUGUUCCAUUUGAAUUUCCAAUUUUUUUUAAACUUUGCUGUAUAUACAUGUGUUUUUUUUUCUUAUUCAAUAGCUUACAAAAUAUUUCUGUACAGUUUUAUGCAUAUUAUGAUCUAUAACAAAAUAGUUAUUUCUUAAAACUAUAUUACCACCAGUCUUUGAAAAUGACAGAAUAGGAAUAACUUAUUAUGGAUUAUGUUAGGCAAUACAAAAAUCCAAUCAACCAAAACCAAAAUAACAAAGUCAGAAAAAUCAUUUCAUUAACUCGAAUUAAUACUUUUUGUUUCACAAAUCUUCUUUGUUGUGUAAACCCUUCUCAGUUGCCUUUGGGUUGUAUAUGCAUCAGAACACUGGAACAGGGUAGGAUUUGGGAUUCCUAAAGCACUGCAGCCUGCCGGGAAUAUUGGUGCUACUGAAACAUGAGAGUUCUCCAUGGAGAAAAAGCAUUAAAGAAACCAACACAUCCAAGCCUUAGCAGAAGGCCUUGGUUUCUGCUGACUUUGACGACCUUUGGACAUGGCUCCAAAGGCCAGAUGUUUGGAAGUGAAUUUAUGACUGGUGAUACAGCCAGACUCCUCUGCCUUCUAUGUGUUCUGUUAGAUUCCCAACCAUCACUCAAAAUCUGGCCCCAAGUGGUGAUGUUCUUCAGAUUUUAAGACCAAACAAUUAAAGAGAAUACAGCUUCUCCCAGUUACCAGUAUGACUCUGAAAGGCAUGCUACUAUCUCAUGUCAAAAUGAGUGAAAUUACUCCAGAAAUUGUCUUGUGCAUCUGAGAGCAGUCUGUCCUGUUACAGUCUGAAGAUAAAUAAAAAGCUAUUAAGUUUGCACUUUGUAGGUAAUUAAAUCCACCUUCCUUAUCUACAAUAAGUUGCAAAAGACAGAGCUCAUAAUUUCCUAAGGUUUAUAUGAAUGUCUGAGCCUUCCUUUUGCCCAAAGGGAAGGUCAUUUUCUUCCCUUAAAGACUGCGUUUGUAAGCAAUUUCUAUUGUAUUUGUGAAGUGUAAGCUGACAGCAACACAACUGAGCUGUAAUAGAAAUCUCAAGGUGCCUUUUAUUCCUUCCACAGCAAACAGAAAGAGUGAGCAAGACACAGACAACACCUAACUUUCUAACACGGUUUAAGGCCACAUUUAGGAAGGAUGAAAGUAAGGCUUCUGUAAGGGGCAACACACUGGAUGCCACAAUGGGAACAGACACUUCAAAGCCAGUAGGCUUUACCUAACAAAAAUCUGGAACACCAUCCCAAUUUUGGCCAGUAGGUCUGUGCCUUCUUUUGGAUAUAAGCUAGAAAAUAAAAUUCAAUGCCACGGACAUCCUCCUCCAGAAUAUUCCCAGCAAACUGAAGGUGCUCCCCUAGCAAUAGAUUACUAUUGUUUCAGUCGAGGGUGUUAAUUACAACAGAACCAAAGACAAGCAAAGUCAUUACAAUAUACAAAUGCAGCGCAAUGAACCGCGCCUAGAAUUGUCACUCUGUUAUCAGAGGCACCUGUACAGUAUCUUGCUGUUUAUUUGGCAAGGUUACAUGUAAUACUUCUAGGUUUUAACAAAGUAGAAAGAGAAUUUGCAUAGAUUGUACAUUCAGUUCAAGGAGAUUUCUGGUACCUUUUUUUGUUGUUAUCAGGUAAACUUGUUUGCAGACACAGUGAGGUAGCAGCUGUGAUAGCACCCAUGAGCAAAAGAAGGUAACCAAGGCAGAAGCAAAGAGAGGAGAGUGAUCUAUACACUGUCGUUAGUAUAAAGGAGCAAAAUCAACAUGGUACCUGCAGUCUCACAUCACGAGGGUUAAUUGCUGCCAACAACACGCUCAACUGCAAAAAGCCUAAUGCUGCUGUUGUCCUGGGUGACAUGGGCUGCGAGACCUCACUGCCUCAAUUUUAAAUGCUCUCAGCCUGAUUGUCCUUUUUCUUACAUUGGUGGUGGUGGUGAAGGCUUUCAAAGGCCAGUUACCAAUCUGAACACUUGCCCUUGAAUAGCCUAGAGGAAGAAAGGCAUUUCCCUACAAAAUCCUUCCCACACUUGCUGCGGAUCUAUAUGCCACAUAUUCUAUGAUUCUGUGAUACUGUCUACAGCAUCCUGGCUGCUCUUAACCCUCUUUCACAUUUGUUUGGCUCCUCUGUGCCUGCUGCAGCAGCGCCUGCCCUCUGCGGGGACCUCUGUAGGCCAGUCCCCCUGUUCUCAGCAGCCCCCCCGGUCCCCCAGCACGGGCAGUGUCCUGUCCCUCCAACACCUGCUUGUACCCUGCCCAUGGACGGCAGCCCUGGAGCUGUCUUGGCAGAAGCUGGAGGGUUUGGUCUGGGAGGACUCUGUUAUGUUUUCAGUUGUCAUUGACAGGCGAUGUUUAAGUUUAAGGCGAUGUGCUACAAAUCCCUAAGACUAACUUGGAGGCCAUGGAUGGUUGAAAAGAAAGCACAUAGAGAUCAUUACCUUCUCGCUACCAGACUGAAGCUAAGGACAACGGGAAAUGCUGCUAACCACAUUCUACCAGGUCAGUCUUGCUCUGCUGCUGAACUAACCAGACCUACUGUUACACAUAUUGAAUAUCUGUGCCUGAAGAGUCAGGAAGAGAUAACCGCUGUCACUUUUACAGCCACCUUCAUGUAUGUUAGUACUGAGCUGGCUGAAGGCUGCUCUGAAAAGCAAACUUUUCCAAUUUACAGCUUGGGGUUUUGAAGAAGCCUAAGGGAUUUGGCUCACAUGAAUACAAAACUUCCUGCCCAAUGGAAAGCAAAGAAGUCAGCCAAGGUAUAAUUUAGCCAACUCCCGAAGCCUUGGGAUCUGGGAAAGCAACAAGGAGGGUGUGAUAGCCAGCAGCAAGCUGGCAGUUCUCUGACAGCUGUGAUGAGAACUACAGAAAUCAACAGAAGUUGGUCCUCAUUGUCUGGCCACAAUUAAAAUCUGGAUUUGGUUUUAUUUUUAUCUGGGAAGUCAAAACUAAGAUCUCACGGUAUCAGCAUUUCUCAGUCUUGCUGUACAGAAGAGUUGCCCAGUUUGUUCAAAUAUUGUUGCAGCAUGGUUUUAUGAAACUUUUGCAAAGUUUUAGCAUCUCUUCAUCUAUACCCUGCCCAGAGAAGCUGUGGAUGCCCCAUUCCUGGAAGUGUUCAAGGCCAGGUUGGAUGGGGCUUUGAACAAGCUGAUCUAGCGGAAGGUGUUCCUGCCCAUGGCAAGGGGGCUGGAAUUAGAUGAUCUUUCAAGUCCCUUCCAACCCAAGCCAUUCUAUGGUUCUGUGUCUCUCCCUUCAGUCAGGUUUAGAAAAUUCCAGUUCUGAUUCACUGACUUCACUGCACUGGUCACUGUAAAAGUAGCUAAGAGAGACUGAGGCUUCAUUAGUAUUGCAGUUAGCUCUGCAGAUGGACAGAGGGUGAAUACACGUUAGUUGGUCCUUCUGAAGGUGCUGCAGGAUCGUUGUUAAUUUGCUGUUAAACAACUGUACAUGCAUUGUGCAUUAAAGCUGAUACCUAGGAAGCUAAAGUCAAUUUGUAGCACACAAAUGCACAUUCCUGCAUCUCUAGGCUUAGUGAUAAUGAAGGCUUAGCAACAGAGACACAGAUGGACUUCCUUGUGUAAUACUUGCCAUCAUGGAGGGAUUCUUAAAAUUCUCUGCUUGCUGAGAGCACAAAAAAUGAAGGCAUAAUUUUAAUUCUAGAAAUUUGAAUAUCAGAAAAUGAAAAUAUAAAUAUGACUACUCAGUGUCCAAAUGUCAUCAAAGAGUUGGACACACUUAAAAAUAAACUGUCAUUUGAGCUAUUUCUAUUAGCCUCAAGGCUUAACAUUACCAUAUAAACAGGUCUGCAUAUCACUAAGACUGACUUUGGAUGUAAUUUAUUAAAUCACAUAUGUAGAUGUUCUACAUCUUGCCACAUUUCCUUUCUGUGUAAUACUGAUUGAUCACAGAAGUGUUACAUGGCUAUCGCACAGAAUGGGCACAGAAUUUAAAUGAGCAAAAGCAUUAUACACAGAGGACAAAUGCGUGCAUAUGGAAGUACACCCCUUUGCCACAGAAAGGGAUUCUGAUCAAAGCUGGCUUUCAGUUGGAGUCCUAUUCAGCAAGGACUAGCCAGUGUGAUUGGAAAAUAACACUAGCACAUUCAAAUGAAGAUGCAUAACUUGCUUGUUUUGUACGAACUGUGGUCCCUGCCCUGAAUUCUCCUUUUCACCAAAUGUAAGAUCUGUGAAGUUAUUCUCUUCUAACAAUAUAUAAUAUUCAUCACAGGCUCCAAGUGCCUGCCAUUUCAGAACCAGAAAAGCCACUUAGCAGAGCGUCGUUCUUAGCAGCACUGCCACAGCCACAGCUUGGAGCAAGCUCUGAUUCCUGAUGGAAAGCCUGGCUUUCCGUGGGUUUUACUGCACAAUUACAGCACUUUGCAACUCAGACACAGUGUCCCUAUAGGACAUAUGUGUCUGUGGCUGCACACUAACAGCUAUAGCAGAAUUUGUCAUUUACGGCCAAAACCUGACACUCAGCUCAGAAGAUGUUCCAAACAUGGCAGCUCAUCCUCUGAUGAUUUCAAACACAUGUAGUAGUUAUUCACAGGAUACUGUCACCCCUUUUAUUUAUGUUGGACUUGACCCUGAAGUCCUCACUCAGAAUCAGCGCUCCAUGGAAAUUUUGCCUGAGAAAGGGCUGUAGGACCAGCCUCUGCAGUUCUACAGCUAGUGCUGUGAGUACCAGCUUGCUACAAAACUUCUUUGUGUAGAUGCUUUUUGUCUUUCAGAAAACAAAGUAAUAUUAAAAAAAAAAUUAUACAUUUUAAACCUAACAUAUAGUGUAAAUAGAUGCAUCAGCAACCAUUUGAUUUCUUUUCCUUUUCUGAACUAAAACAAAAUAAUUUGUGCCUUACAUUUAAGUCGCGUAAGUGGCAGAUUUUCUUCUAGCCACAAAAGACUGGAUUGCUGUCACCUUCUGCUUCAUCUAGUUAAUAACGAGAAUUUACCAACAAAGCACUUAAAACAUUCCUGUUAAAGAAUAAAAGGGUAUCAAAUUUAAAAAUCAAGUUAUCUGCAUGUGUUGUGUGGGCGCACCCUUAUACAUAUGCCUAUGUGCAAGACAGACUGAAGAUUUUGCGACUACCCCAGCAGUCUCAUUGAGAACAAUCAUUGACUAGGAUUGUUAAAGAAAUUGUAUUGUGUGCCCUAAAUAUGAUGUUCUCCAUUUGAUCCGCAGGGCUUUAAUGGUGCACUUGCCAUUGCAUCAAUGUGACUAAAGCCCUGGAUUUCAUAAUGAGGACUGGAACUCCCCAGAAAAUCUGCACUUCAUGAAGGAAUGUUAGAUUCACAAUCAGCACUGUUAAAAAAACAAAACAAACAGAACGACAAAAAAAAACCCUACUGACAAACAAGACAGUGCUGCAUUUGCUCAUUGUGAAGCUAAUCGACUCCUUGUCAACUGGAUCUGAACUAAAUUUCGAAGCAAAUCCUUGUCUUCAGGGUUUUUCUUGAAAUGACGAUUCCAGGGCAUGUCUACUGUCUGCAGCCACGUGCCUGCCUGCUGCUAUUACUACAUUUAUCAAGAACAUGUCAUGUUACAGCUGGUUAAUUUAAAGAAAUCACAGCAGUUCUGACACAAGUUGCCACCCACUUUAUAAUCUGUAUAGAUGCAAUUAGAAUUGAUUGAGCCACUGCAAAUAACCAACGGCAAAACAAAGGUUUCCCAGUAUAUACUUAAUUAAGAUGAUCCAUAAAUAUGGAUUAGGUUAAAAGGCUUUUGAGAUGUGUGUGCAUCACAGGAUGUCUGCUAAUGCCGUCAAGCCUUUGAAAGAGGAAGCUGUAGCUGGAGGGCACUGGACCAGGAGCUGGGGUUUGGGGCUCCUUGCCCUGUGGUGGGGCAGCAGGGAGCAGAAGCCCCACAUCAGGGGCACGUGAACAUGGUAGGAACCAAACAUGAAAGGUCUCUCUGAAGGAGAAAGAAACGGAUGCUCUCUGUCCCUGCCCUCUUUACUUGAAGGAAGAAGUUUUUAUUCAUUUAAUUAUUUAUUUUCAAUCCAGCAUUUGGUAUUGGCUUGAGGUUUGGGGCUUUAUCUGCCCCAGAAGUGAAUCUGCCCACUGGCUCACAGUAACCUAUUUGGGUUUAAUGAAACAGGUACUAUACAGUAAAUGCGUGACAACUCAUUAGCAUCACUCCAGCUGGGAGAUCACCGUGGAAACUUUGCCAUGAAUAUAAACUCAAAUGUGAAAAUGAAAUUGCUUUGGCUUUUUCCCUGCACCUCUCCGUGCUCCUAGGAGCUGUGUGUGAUCACACCCGGCAAGAGCGCUUUGCACAGGCUUUGCACAGCACCAAUGAGUGGGAAAGGGGGAUGAUAGAGAUGCAGAUCCAGCCUCUACUGAAUUUGCUGUGCUUUCAUGGGAACUGAAAUAUACUUGGUAGCUCGGGUGAGUCUGAGAACUGCUGGCUAAACAGCCUGGAUUAUGCCUGUUGUUUGAUUCUGCCUCUCCAGUCCCUGUGCAGGGGACCUGGACAUUGAGCCUCUGAACUGCUCUUCAACUCAUGCUGCUGAAAGCAGUGAGAAAGCCCCGUUCCAGUGUAUAGUCACUGCUACUGAUCUUCUAGUCAUCUUCUCCCUGUUCUGUCUCCUCCACGUUACACUCCCUUUCUGUCUUGGCACGAUGCAGUCCUGGGGCACCCUGAUGGUCCUUGGCAGCUCCCCCAUGUCCUUACAGUGAGCACGGGGUUCUUGGCUUUAACACACUCAGCCAUACAGUGAGAAACCCCGAAAUCGCCAGUUAGAAGAAGAAAAGAGAAUCUGGCUGUGAGGGACGUAGGGGGAAGGAGACAGUGGUGGACCAAAUGGAGCUGAACCUGAUUUCUCCAAAUGAGUUACCUGGCAAAUUCACAUAGUUCAUGUGCUCCACCCCCUCUUUUUUCCCUUCUUUCUCCAUUAUCCCCAACCAAGCAAACACUUGAAGGCACUCUUGAGCCAGAAGGAUAUGCUGAAAGGCAAAACUGAUUCCUGACAGAACUCAGAGAAACAGGCCCAGGUUUGGAUGCCUGGUAGAGAAAGAGGAGCAAGAAAGAAUAAAUAAUAUUGGACUCCAAACCUCCCACUGAAAUUGCUUUGGGAGACUCGCUUACUGUGGAGACAUCCCAAACCUCCAAGUGUGCUCAAAAACACCAUAUAAGAACUGAUCUCUCUUUUAUAGAUAUAGCUUUUGUAAAGGGCAACGAGUCCCUGUUUUUAAACAAUUCACAUUCUGUCAGUUAUGCACAUCUGGACAUAAUAUCACAGAAAAAAAAAUGUCCCUGAUUUCCCUCCUUGGUUUUACUUGCAUGCACAGACUCUAGGCCAAAAUUAAUAAAUAAAUGGGAAUAGAAAAUGAGUAAACUAGCUGCAUAUGCUGUUUUUAUUAACUGUUAAAUGAAGUGUCUUUGCUGGUAGCUGUCCCAGAAUUAAUUUUUUUUUUUCGAACUGUAAUCAUGAAAUUUAAGAGUCAUGAUACAGGAAUGAACACGUUUCAGUUUACUUAACAGAGGAGAAAGUUGCUCCCUUCAUGAUGCUGAGAAAUUACGAGCAACUUUACCUUGUGCUCUGUGCUGAAAUCGUGUAGAUAUGCAGUGGUUUAGCAAAUACAGUGAUAGUUGUCAUGCUCUUGCUCUCCAGAUGCAAGAGUUUAGUGGCAGCUGUCAGAUCUGUGCAAACAUUUUUUAGAAUGACACAUUAUGCACAAAACACAGACAGAUUUUUAUGUAUGUAACUACGUGGACUCCAGUUUCUAUGUCUGGUGUAUAUGAGGCAGACUGGGCCUAAUCAUGGUGAAACAAAUAAAGCAAAGUAGUAUGAAAAAA